GAUGAACGCUAGCUACAGGCCUAACACAUGCAAGUCGAGGGACCGGCGCACGGGUGAGUAACACGUAUCCAACCUGCCCUUUACUCGGGGAUAGCCUUUCGAAAGAAAGAUUAAUACUCGAUAUAAAGGAUGGGGAUGCGUUCCAUUAGGUUGUUGGUGAGGUAACGGCCCACCAAGCCUUCGAUGGAUAGGGGUUCGGAGAGGAAGGUACCCCACAUUGGAACUGAGGCACGGUCUAAACUCCUACGGGGGGCAGGAGUGAGGAAGAUAGGUGAAUGGGGCUUAACGUGAACCAGCCAAGUAGCGUGAAGGAGGAAGGCGUCUGGGUCGUAAGUUUCUAGUAUAUAAGAAUAGGUAUUAAAUGAGUAAGGAUCGGCUAACUCCGUGCCAGCCGCCGCGGUAAUAC
rnacentral:rRNA from 1 species